rnacentral:rRNA from 1 species
CAGAGGGUAGCGGAGCGUUGUCCGGAAUCGACUGGGCGUAAAGGGCGCGUAGGUGGCGACCCAAGUCGAUGGUGAAAGCUCGCCGCUCAACGGCGCGUCGGCCACCGAUACUGGGUUGCUCGAGCACUGUAGAGGCUAAUGGAAUUCCGGGUGUAGCGGUGGAAUGCGUAGAGAUCCGGAAGGAACACCGGUGGCGAAGGCGGUUAGCUGGGCAGUUGCUGACACUGAGGCGCGACAGCGUGGGGAGCAAACAGGAUUAGAUACCCUGGUAGUCCACGCCGUAAACGAUGGGCACUAGAUGCUUGGGGGAGCGACCCCCUGAGUGUCGCCGCUAACGCAGUAAGUGCCCCGCCUGGGGAGUACGGCCGCAAGGCUG